AUUGAACGCUGGCGGCAUGCCUUACACAUGCAAGUCGAACGGUAACGGGCCUUCGGGUGCCGACGAGUGGCGAACGGGUGAGUAAUACAUCGGAACGUGCCCGAUCGUGGGGGAUAACGAGGCGAAAGCUUUGCUAAUACCGCAUACGAUCUACAGAUGGAAGCAGGGGACCGCAAGGCCUUGCGCGGACGGAGCGGCCGAUGGCAGAUUAGGUAGUUGGUGGGAUAAAAGCUUACCAAGCCGACGAUCUGUAGCUGGUCUGAGAGGAUGAUCAGCCACACUGGGACUGAGACACGGCCCAGACUCCUACGGGGGGCAGCAGUGGGGAAUUUUGGACAAUGGGCGCAAGCCUGAUCCAGCCAUGCCGCGUGCAGGAUGAAGGCCUUCGGGUUGUAAACUGCUUUUGUACGGAACGAAAAGCCUUCUUUUAAUACAGGAGGGUCAUGACGGUACCGUAAGAAUAAGCACCGGCUAACUACGUG
rnacentral:rRNA from 1 species